GUGUGUGUGUGUGUGUGUGUCAGAGGGGUGUUUACAUCCUGCCACCAAUCAAAAACUGUCUGAUUAGAAUUUGUGGACUCAUGCUGAGCUUGCUUGAGGUCAUUUUUUGUUGUACUGCAUUACUUUCAGUACUUCUUCAUUUUGAUGAUCUUCAGUACCAACUUUUGCUUUUUUAGCAAAUGAAGCUCAGUCUAAGUAAUUUUUUGGCUUUAUUUAUCACAUUUUUCAGUUUUUGGUACUCUAUAUUUUGGUAAUCUUAUGCGGUUAAGCCAUUCAGCAAAUUCAACUUUAAGUAUUUCUAAUAGUUUCAAGCAUUUCAGGUAAAAUUUCCAAAUUUUCAGCAUUCAUAUUAUAGAUUGCAGCUUGUCCAAAAUGCUCCGGCACGCCUUUUGACUGAAGCCAGAAGGUUUGCCUCUGUCACCCCUGUCCUUGCGGAUUUGCAAUCAAAUACUAUAUUGAAUUUUAAAUAUUGCUGCUUACCUUCAAAAUUAUAAACAAUACAGCGCCUAGCUAUCUCGACGAAACUCCUUAGACCAUAUACCCCUGGGACAGCCCUCAGGUCAUCAGCCCAAUGACCUUUGGUACAGUCUAGAUCUCAGCUUAAGACCAGAGGUGACCGUGCGUUUGCCCUGGUUGCGCCUCAGCUGUGGAACAACCUUCCCAUUGCUAUUCACGCGUCUGAAUCCAUCCAAUCAUUUAAAUCACGAUUAAAAACUCACUUAUUUAACCUUGCUUUUCUGGUUAGUUAAUGCCUGUAUUUUAUACUUAACUAACAAUUUAACUUUGUAUAUAUCUUCUACUUAAUACCCAUGUGUUUAUAGCAAGUUUGGUUUGAUAUUCACUUUUAUUCUUGCGUAAUUAGUGCCAUUGACCUGUUGGCAUAUUCAAUGCUUUGUUAAUGGUCUUAUAUUAUUCAUGUUUUAACCUGCUGUUUUAUUGUGAAGCACUUUGGUGUACCGUUGGUAUGGUAUUGUAUAUUGCAUAUUUGCUGUGAAAUGCUUUUUCUAGUUGUCUCUGUCUCUAUCUCUAAACUCUGUUACAUACUCAACAUGGAAUGAUCCCCUUUGUCAGGGCGUGUAGCUUCUUCUUUAAGAUACUCCAAUUUGCCUGGCCAUGCCCCUUAUCUAUAAAACAGCUGUUCAGACUUGAAAUCAUCGAUCAUUUGAGCUUCACUUUACAGUGAAGUGUGUGUACUGGAAGAGUGUGUGGUACAGUGUGUGUCUGUUACCUUUAUGGUGGGGAGCCUGUCUGUUGGCAGCCUCCCAGGAUUGCUGUCAUUUCCUCUGUAGCUCUAGUUGGCUGUGAUCACUUCUGGCAUAUUGCCUGUGGUUUCACUGGUUUACAUGUCCAUUGGGUCCUUGCUGUGGCUGAUGCUGUUAGCCCCGUGAGCGAGGGUUUCUCUGGUCUGCUAGGUGAGCCCAGUCUGUUUUUCACGAUCGUGAGUUUCACACCGAGUGGCUUAGCAUAACCCUUCUCACCAAGCAUCCUUCACAAUAUAAGCUAAAAGAAAAUUGUAUGAAAGACAGUCAGGGGAACAUGAAGAUCAGCAAAGAGAGAUGAGCUAUUUAGCUUAGCUUAGGAAAAAGCAGUAUUUAUCUCGCUGUUUCAUGGUUACGGCUGCCUCAUUCUCCCAGCAAGUAUGGCAAGCCCUGUGUGCCAUAACUGUGUGGGAUUUGACAUUUCUAUGCCUCUGGAUGAUGGCAUAACAGGUGCGAUGUGAUUGGGUACCAACAUGCCUUGCUGGUGAGGGAAAAACCCCUAGUCCUGUAUGGACUGACCUGUACUCACUUUUCUGACACAAAAUGUGCAGACUCACCCCUUUUCGAUAUGCCUAAAGUUGGAAAAGUGGAUGCCUCACAGACCAAGGGGGAGUGCCCAGACCCUUGGCAGGUGUCUUUCCCUUCCCCUGCUGCUAGGCUUGUCGAAGAGCCACCCUUUAGGAGCUCCUCACUGGCCCCAGCGAUUGAAUGUGAUUAGAAGGGCAUCCAGAGAUCUGCCCUUCCUGAGGACUCUGUGGCGCCUGCUCCCAGUUUUGAGGACACUGGACAUUUCCGGCCUUCCCAGAUGCAGGUGCCUGACAUUAAGGACCUGAUGAGCUAGUAGUUCGGCUCUUGGCUUUUGUAGACGUGGUGCGCACCCACAUGGAAAGAAGGAGGAUGAACAGCCAAGGCUCUGACAUCCUCCAGCGACCCCCCUCUCCCCUGACCUAUCCUGGAGCAAGGUCGGCUAGCCCCCUUCCAGCCUGUGCCUGGAGCGGUCUCACUAGGUAAAAGUUGUGGUCUCCACUGAGCUUUCCAUUGGUGGAGGGACUCAACCAACUUAGACCAGGGUCAUGCAGUAGGUCUGGUGACUCACCGUCAGCUGGUCUUCACGGACACUUUCCAAGUCAAUUUGGGUAGGGUCCACUAAGGCUGUGCGGUAAAUGGCUAUUGAACCAGCCACUAGGCAACUCAUCCUCACUAGAGCUGUACCAUGUUAUCAUCAGGACAGACACAAUGGUUGCAACAGCCUACAUCAACAGGCCUAGGUUCCCCCCCUCCUCUUCAGGAUGGCUAACAGGUUGUUGCAGUGUGCUCAUCCCCUGUUCCAUUGAGUUUGCUUGGGUACAUGCAGCAGGGCCAUUGAACGUGGACAUUAAGUUGAUGGGGGCCCGAGUCCAGGAGAGUGGAGACUCCAUCCACAGAUGGUUGACCAGGUCUGGCAUCACUUUGGAAGGGCAAACUUCUAUCUUUUCGUCCAGGGAGUUGACGCGAUGCCAUUGUUUCUUCUCCCUCCAGAAUGAUGACCUGCCUCUGGGGUGGGACACCCGUGCACACCCUUGCCCCCAGACUCUAUGCAUUCCUUUCCAUUCUCCCUCCUCCAGUUGGUCCUCCACUGAGUCCAGACCGAGGAGAUGUGGUUGAUCCUGGUGGCCCCUCUUGGUCCCACAUGCCUUGGUUUUCAGCAAUCCCUCUGCUACUGAAUGGGACCCAUGAGAGCUUCCCUUCCAAAGGGACCUCCUGUCUCAAAUAAGCGGUAUGCUUUUCCAGCCCUUCCUGGCAGGGCUCAGGGUGAUAACCUGGCCCCUGAAAGGCACCUUUCCUUAGGGUUGCCUGAACCUGUGAUAUGAAAUUUGCAGGAAUCUGUGCACCAUCCACAAGGUCUGCCUACCCCUACCGCUGGUGACUUUUUGCUUCCUGAUGUGCGGUCCAAUAGUUGGACCACUACGAGGCUACAUUUAAGACCAUCCUGUAGUUCCUGCUUUCCCAGCUGAUCUGCAAUUACCCAGCGAGGAGUGCCCAGCAACUUACAUUUCGCAGGACUGGACCUCCAGUUCCUCCAUGGGACAUGGAUGUGAUCCUUGGUGCACUUCAGCAUUGUCCCUUUGAGCUGCUCAAGGAUGCUCAUGUGAAAUGGCAUUUCCUUAAAAUGGCCUUUUUGGUGGACAUAACAUCUGCCAGUCCACAGAGAUUGCUACAGGUGGUUGCUAAAGAGGAAAGAGGUAAUCCUGCAAGCAAAAUGAAGAAUUGCCAUCCCUCAGCAGAUUAGAUCAAAUUAGGUUUUCCAAUUAUGAUCCAAUGUGUUCCAGCAUUUGUAAUCCUGAGAGGAACAUGUUUUUGGUUAACUCAAACUGCAGUAGAAAGUUACAAUAGGUAACAGUUUUCCAUCUGAUCAUAUAUGUUGACUUUGUCAUUGGUUGUCUCCAGCUCACUAAUGGUUCAUCGUUUUUAUUCAGGAGGAUUUCUGGAUGAAGUGACUGGAUCGAUCUACAAGACUGUAGCUGACGUCUUUGAUGAAGACGAUGAUGAUGUCAACUAAAUUUAACCAUAUGUUGCCACCAUGUGGACAAACUAAUAUACCAUACUUUCAUUGGUUAUGGUUAUUUGGGUUUUUUUUCUUUAAUAACACAUUUGCUCCCCAAUAACGUCAGAGAAAUUUUUAAAAUAAUAAUUUCACAUGUUUAUGUAUUGUUGCUACCUGACAAGUCUGAAUACUGAAAUCAUUAUUUAAAUAAAACAGACGAGACAUUUUUA